UACGAAGGGGGCGAGCGUUGUUCGGAUUUACUGGGCGUAAAGGGCGCGCAGGCGGCUCAUUUUGUCAGGCGUGAAAGCCCCGGGCUUAACCUGGGAACUGCGUCCGAUACUGGCAGGCUUGAAUCCGGGAGAGGGAUGUGGAAUUCCAGGUGUAGCGGUGAAAUGCGUAGAUAUCUGGAGGAACACCGGUGGCGAAGGCGGCAUCCUGGACCGGUAUUGACGCUGAGGCGCGAAAGCUAGGGUAGCAAACGGG
rnacentral:rRNA from 1 species